AAUGUCAUGAUCCCGAAAUUUGUUGCCUCGACAAAUAAAUUAAUACUACUACUAGUUUGAAAUGAAAUGAAACGAAACAAUAGCAUUAGAUGAGUGAAUGAAUGAGUCUUGUUGAAAUAGUUAUCGUUAUUUCCAUCAUCUUCCUUUUGUACGGCGGCAACAAAGUCGACUACGUCUUCAAAACCGUGUUAAUCGGCGAUUCAGUAUGGACUCCAAGUCCACCAUCGGAGUUGAGUUCCAGACGCGCACAGUUGAGAUAGAUCAAGCCCCAGAUUUGGGACACUGCUGGCCAACAAAGGCUUCCAUGGGUUAUUAAUUUUAGGAUUUUGAUCUCCUACCAAUUGCUCUGCUUAACAUAGAGCUUGAUUACUUCUUGCUCUCUUUCUAUUAGCUCAAGUGUCCAAAUAAUGAACUGGAAGUUGUUUGGAUUAGAACAAGGUAGUGUUGGAAUUAUCAGCACUUGAGGCAACAAAUGUUGAACAAGCUUGCCUGUCUGAGAUUUAUCGUGUCAUCAGCAAGAAAUCCCUCGUUGCUAACGAAGCAGAAUCCCGAAGAAAUGAAGCACUUCUUCAGGGUACCAAGAUUGUCGUUCCUGGACAGGAACUUGUGCCUACUGCAAGCAACUUCAGCUGUUGUAGAACAUCAUAGUCUAAUCCUUCAUCUUGGUAGUUUUCAAGUA